UUGUCAGUCCCUUGGCAAACAACCCAAGCCUAAUUAAUAAACUUGGAUCAGGAGUUGCUACGAUACUUCAUUCCUUUUAAGUACACUUUCUUUUAAAAAUAAAUUUUCCUCUGGUCUAACUUUCAAACCUACCCAUUUUACCUUUAACCAUGGAGCUUUGCAGCUUUUGCAUAAGUCUUGAGUAAUCGAAAGAUAGAACAAUCAAGUCAAGCACUACGUCUCAAAUUCUUCACAGUACCAAUAUUCCAGAGUUUUGCAAGUUUUGAAAUAAAACUCAGAGCUUAAUUGUAUGAUACCCUCAAGUCUCUUAUUUGGUAGUAUUUAAGGAUCUCACUGAGGCAUUAAUGAGGUUAUGCCUUCCUACAACUAAGGAUAUAUAUAGUGGAGCUUAUAGGAGUGGCAAUAACAAGGAUGAGCAUACUUGCAAUUUUAUAUUGUAAAGUCAAACAAUGGAUCCACAAAGAAUUGAGGCAUAUAAUCAAAUCAAGAUGUGCGUGUGUAUGGCAUAUGGUGGAUAGGUGCAUAUAUAGUAUUUAGUGGUUAAUCCUAUUUCUACUUUUGCUCUUUAAAAUUACUUCCUCCUUUAAAAUUUAAAACUUUUCACGGGAAACCAUAGGCUAUCUUUAUUCUUUUUUUAUUACUGUGGGAAGCGGGCAUCGAUGUACCCAUUGUUUUAAUUGCUGGGACACUUGUCCAUCUUUUACUCCCCUUUUUUCUAUUUUUCUUUUUUAAUAUUUUUGCAUAGCCACAUGCAUCCUUUGAAUUAAAUAAUCAGAGAGAUAAUGAUAAGAACUUAGAGCAAUUAAAUGGGGCUGUCCUAUAGGGUAUAUUUUUGGAUGUUUACUCCUAGUGUAGGAGACAGAACAUUUUUAAGGUGGAUCAGGAUGAAAGUGGAAAUGACUGUGCUUACAUCCCAGAGUAGGAGUAAUGCAUAUGUGGGUGGAGUGUGUGAGUGAUCUUAAUUUAAAAGCAUGAUAAGACUCUCAUAAGGUAUACUCCAAAGGUUGACUAAACUCAAUGUAAAGCAAGUAGCAUGAAUGCGCAAAGGUUUUCCUAACUCUAAAUGUAUCAUAUAUGGCUUUGGUAGGAAUUUAAACUUUAUCAUACAAGAGCUCAUCAUGUAAGAUUUUGGGUUUUUGAAAAUAAAUCUCCAAAACUUAGUAAUGCUAGGAAUAUGCAGCAGCUUGAUCCUUCAUGUAUAAUAUCAAUUACCUAGACUUAGCUUAAACAUAUGCCUACACCAAUUUUAGGUUCAUAGUAAAUUCUUAUAUUAAAGUGGUAAUGCCUAAAACUCAGGAGAAUUUAUGGUUGAAAACUAGGCACUUGAAAGGAAUUACUGUAGUAUUCAUCAUCUCCAAGACAAAAUUUUUAUAUUCUAUAAUUUUUAUUUGACUCUAAACUAGACUGACUGUAGACACACUCUAUGAUCACACCUAAUAAGUAUUUUGUUUAGUUUUUGUUCAUUUCUAUUGGACUCAAAAGACUCUAAAGAUAUAGACCUUCAUGUGCCCAUAUAUUUUUGGUAUUUUUUUAUAUUUUCUUAUGAUACUAUUGUGAAUCUUCAUGUGCUCACAUAUUUUUGGUAUUUUAUGACUAUAUAAAAUAGACUCGAUAAUCGCUUAGGUAUAGUUACCUGAUAACUAGGGGAUUCUCCUCCUCAAGCUAGAUGUUUGCAAUAGUUGGUGUUGAUGAUCUUCAGAGUGAGCUAACCGGCAGCGCUCUAGGUGGGUGCCACUAAUAGACUCUCUCCUUGUCAUAAUAUUGUUCCUACAUAAUUACACUCCACAAAGAAAACCAAAACUCGAGACUCAAAUUUAAUAAUGGGUUAGCGGUCAGCCAGUACGUGAUUGAUUAUUCUUAUGAGUUGAUUUGAAUUGACAGAUUCUAGCAGGAUUCUCUCCUUUUUUAGGAUUUUCUAGUUUAAUUAUGCAGUAAUGAAAUAUGUGUACAUCAUGUAUAGUUGUAUUAUUAUGCCUCCACAGAGAAUAUUUAUUCUUAUGGAGCUUAGGUUAUUCAUAAUGCAAGAAAGUAAAUACAUAAGCUAUUAUUAUUAUUCUUUAUGUCACCACAGUAAAUAUAACUACAGGGUUACCAUAAGUUUAUUCAUGUGGAGCUUUUAAUAUUUUAUGAUGCAGUAAAUGAAGCAAUAAAGAUUUAUUUUAUUUAUUUUAUUUUUAUAUUUAUGCAGAUGAAAACAUUAGAGUGAAAUUAUUAAUGUAAACAAGAAUACUAAUUACUUAGAUAACUACCAUAUUACCUUAUGACAAUGAUGUAAAAUUUAAAGUUUACCGACAGGUCUUGUUCUUCCACUCUUGUGUAUCUCUUCAUCUUGAGAGAUGGAGGUCUUGAUGGUUGCAUACCUCUAGUGAUGGUAAUGUCACUUUUGUUCUUUGAUUUAGUUAGCAGGUUGAAGUAAAGCUUUAAUAGUAGCUGGCAGCAUCUUGCUUAGUGUGCAUGCUCAUAGAACUUUCACUUGUAGAUUAAACUUUGCUUGAUGCGUUGUCCUGUUUACAAAACUAAGGUAGAGAUCAAGUGCAUGGGCUCUGCUAGUGGAAAAACACCAACAGAACCAAAUCUGUUUCUUUAUUUAUUUUUCGCUAUCCUUAGGCACAUUAAACAAGAUAAAGUUGUGUUACAUGAUUUCUUUAUUUAUGAGUGGUAAGAUCAAAAGAUUAAGCAUUUAAUGUUGCAUUUA
rnacentral:lncRNA from 1 species